rnacentral:other from 1 species
ACCCUGCGGUGUACGUCAGUCUCUUCUUUGCGUUGAGCCAACAUUUUUACCUAGGGAGCUCGGAAAAGUCGUGUCUUUCAAAAACCAGCCGCCUCGAGCGGACUUUUGCGAUCGGCAGCAGAGCACCCACCUGCAUUUGCAGGUUCAAACUUACGAAGUCAAACGGCAUUGUGGGGUAU